GCCAGUGUGGCAUAGUGGUUUGGGCAUUAGACUAUGACCCUGGAAAUCAGGGUUUAAAUCCCUGCGUGGCCA